UGCAGUCGAACGAGAACGGCACCUUCGGGUGCUCAGUACAGUGGCGCACGGGUGAGGAACACGUGAGUAACGUACCUCCUGGUGGGGGAUAACGGGCCGAAAGGCUCGCUAAUACCGCAUGAGACCACGGCCCCUGCGGGGGCUGCGGCCAAAGGGACAUGGUUUCGGCCCUGUCCCGCCUGGAGAUCGGCUCGCGGACCAUUAGCUUGUUGGUGGGGUAACGGCCUACCAAGGCAUCGAUGGUUAGCUGGUCUGAGAGGAUGAUCAGCCACACUGGGACUGGAACACGGCCCAGACUCCUACGGGAGGCAGCAGUGGGGAAUAUUGCGCAAUGGGCGAAAGCCUGACGCAGCAACGCCGCGUGGGUGAAGAAGGCCUUCGGGUUGUAAAGCCCUGUCAGGGGAGAAGAAUGCAAGGUGUGUUCCACCUUGUUUGACGGUACCCCCAAAGGAAGCACUGGCUAACUCCGUGCCAGCAGCCGCGGUAAUACGGAGAGUGCAAGCGUUGUUCGGAAUUACUGGGCGUAAAGCGCGUGUAGGCGGCGUGGUAAGUCUGACGUGAAAGCCCGGGGCUCAACCCCGGAAGUGUGUUGGAAACUGCCAUGCUCGAGUACUGGAGGGGAAAGCGGAAUUCCGAGUGUAGAGGUGAAAUUCGUAGAUAUUCGGAGGAACAUCCGUGGCGAANGCGGCUUUCUGGACAGAUACUGACGCUGANACGCGAAAGCGUGGGGAGCAAACAGGANUAGA
rnacentral:rRNA from 1 species